CGGGAAUUCGAUUAGAGUUUGAUCCUGGCUCAGAUUGAACGCUGGCGGCAGGCUUAACACAUGCAAGUCGAGCGGAAACGAUGGUAGCUUGCUACCAGGCGUCGAGCGGCGGACGGGUGAGUAAUACUUAGGAAUCUACCUAGUAGUGGGGGAUAGCACGGGGAAACUCGUAUUAAUACCGCAUACGACCUACGGGAGAAAGGGGGCAGUUUACUGCUCUCGCUAUUAGAUGAGCCUAAGUCGGAUUAGCUAGAUGGUGGGGUAAAGGCCUACCAUGGCGACGAUCCGUAGCUGGUCUGAGAGGAUGAUCAGCCGCACCGGGACUGAGACACGGCCCGGACUCCUACGGGAGGCAGCAGUGGGGAAUAUUGGACAAUGGGGGAAACCCUGAUCCAGCCAUGCCGCGUGUGUGAAGAAGGCCUUUUGGUUGUAAAGCACUUUAAGCAGUGAAGAAGACUCUUCGGUUAAUACCCGGAGACGAUGACAUUAGCUGCAGAAUAAGCACCGGCUAACUCUGUGCCAGCAGCCGCGGUAAUACAGAGGGUGCAAGCGUUAAUCGGAAUUACUGGGCGUAAAGCGAGCGUAGGUGGCUUGAUAAGUCAGAUGUGAAAUCCCCGGGCUCAACCUGGGAACUGCAUCUGAAACUGUUAGGCUAGAGUAGGUGAGAGGGAAGUAGAAUUUCAGGUGUAGCGGUGAAAUGCGUAGAGAUCUGAAGGAAUACCGAUGGCGAAGGCAGCUUCCUGGCAUCAUACUGACACUGAGGCUCGAAAGCGUGGGUAG
rnacentral:rRNA from 1 species